rnacentral:rRNA from 1 species
AACGAACGCUGGCGGCAUGCCUAACACAUGCAAGUCGAACGAGACCUUCGGGUCUAGUGGCGCACGGGUGCGUACCGCGUGGGAACCUGCCCUUAGGUUCGGAAUCACUCCCCGAAAGGGGUGCUAAUACCGGUUAAUGUCUUCGGACCAAAGAUUUAUCGCCUUUGGAUGGGCCCGCGUUGGAUUAGCUAGUUGGUAGGGUAAAAGCCUACCAAGGCGACGAUCCAUAGCUGGUCUGAGAGGAUGAUCAGCCACACUGGGACUGAGACACGGCCCAGACUCCGACGGGAGGCAGCAGUGGGGAAUAUUGGACAAUGGGCGAAAGCCUGAUCCAGCAAUGCCGCGUGAGUGAUGAAGGCCGUAGGGUUGUAAAGCUCUUUUACCCGGGAUGAUAAUGACAGUACCGGGAGAAUAAGCUCCGGCUAACUCCGUG